CAGCAUCUUGGGAGGCUGAGGCAGGAGAAUCACUUGAACCCAGGAGGUGGAGGGUGACAGAGUGCCGAGAUCGCGCCACUGUACUCCAGCCUUGGGUGACAGUGAAACUCCAUCUCAAAAAAAUAUAAAAACAAAAACAUGCCUUUUUCUUAUUACAACUCUGUUGCUGACUACGAGGUCUGCUUUGAUAGUAAACAAAAGACACUUUACAAUAAGGUGACAUUUUAUUAUUUAUACAAUAAGGAGACUUUUAUGUUAUUCAAAACACUUUUUUAAAUACUGAAAAAGUUGAGUACACCAAAGCCGAAAAAUGGCUCUGCUAUACACUGCACAGCAUUAUUUUAGUCCCUGUAUUUUGUAUCUGUACAGAAAGCAUCUUCAAAAUGCAUUCUAAUCACAUUGUACACCUUUACCAAUUAGUGUCAAUACAUAAAAUAAAACUGGAGAAUACAGCUUGCAUUUGCAAAUUAACUGACAAAGUAAUUAAUUUCACUGGUUCAGUAAAUUUAAAAUAUAGUUUCAUAGGACUUCUUUGCACAUAAAAUGAAGCAGCUUUCAAGGUUGUUAUGGUCUCAUACUGCAAAAAAACCAGUAAGUACAUUCACGAUCUAUGUUAAUAAAGUAGUAAAUAUGUCUUCAUUCAGUUUUAUUUACAUCAAUAUGUAGUUCAACUAAAAAGUACUUUUAAUUGUGAUAUAGUAGUCUUUUUAACACAUACAAAAAUGACAAUUUUUUAUAUAUAAUUUAAGCUCAAAAUCACAAUUAUCUCAAAAUAUUAAUUACAAUACAGCCAUUUCAGUUAAACAUGUUGUGAUUUAAUUUUUUUUAUAAAAUGGUAAAAUUGUAUUAUUAAAGUAAGCAAUUUGUCUUGAAUUGGCUAGAGUACACCCAAGUAGAAAACCUUAAACGUUAAGAGGUGUUUCCUGCCCCCUCCCACCCAAAUUUGUAUACAGCCACCUAGGCUAGCAAAGAGACAGAAAAGGCCCCAAUUUAUAAAGAUUGAGCCUCUUUUGCUAUACUGCUGUGGCUUGUUGGUUCUUUCAUAAAAGCUUUACAAGGGGAGUGUCAAUAAACUAUGCAGUGAAAUGCAUGCAUUAAUAUACAAUAUGUCUAUGUAAAAUGUCAAUGUUUACUAUUGCACAUAAAAGAUUCACAAAGACUGCAAAAGAAGUCAUAAAGAAGCACUUUCUCUACCAGUCGAAUAUUGUAAAUUUGAAAACGACUUGAUAAUAUAAUGGGAUUUCUUUGAAAUCAGAUCCCAAUUCAAGUUUUUUCUCUGGGUAAAGGAGCUCUGGUUACGUGGCCUUAAGAUGUCACUGUUGUGCUGCACAUAUGGUAGUGAAGUCAGAUAUCAUUAAAAAAAAAAAAAGUCUAGAGACUAUCUUCAUUUUACUAAAGUAGUGACCCAAAGUUGGAUCACUGCUUAGGAAUUGUUCUUAAACUUACAGAAGAGUGAAAUAUUUCACUGAAUUGUAUGACCUGACAUGAGAAAAGGAACAUUUAUGUGUGUGUGUUUGGCAUAUGGAAAAAUACUAAUUCAUAUAGGUAGAAUUAGAACUUCUUUAUAGAGCAGUAAAAGGAUUAUGCCCCAAAAUAACUGAGGUCAAAAGUAAUCAAUUAUCAAAUAGUUUAGGAAAAAAUAAUUUUCAUAGAUACUUAAAAAAACAUCCAAAACAUAAUAUCUAGUAUCCUUUUACAUACAAUUUUUAAGAAACUAUCUGAAAACCUACCACUGUCUUCCUUCAGAAUUGCUUAUGUUAGUUUAAUGUUUAUUUUGUGAAUAGAAAGAGCCUAGUUCAUGUUAUGGUUUUCUUAUAUAUACCUGGUUGGGGGAGGAGCCCUUGGGCAGUUACAAAGUGGAAAAAAUAAAACUGUAGUACUUUCAAUAACCGACAGUAAUCUUGCAGUCAUCUCACUUUUUUCAAGGUCUUUUGUGGUGGUCUUUAAAAUUUACAAACAGAAUUUGGUAGAUUUACUUCUAAUUUUCCACUAGUAAAAAAUUUCUUCUUCAUAUGAAGACAAUGUCAUUAUCUCUAAGCUUCCUUUAGUCCCUACCGAGUACAAAGAGAAACUUGAUUGGCUCUUCAGACAAAAACUGCCUGGUUUAUCUGACUAUCAAUUACCUUUCUCUUCAUUUCAAACAGAAAAUAGGCUUACAUUUUCAAGGAUGAACGUGUACUUGAGGAUGUUCAAGAGAAAUGCCCAAACAUUAUGAAGCCGAAGUAUUAAACAUGCAUUGCAUUCCACUGACGCUAGGUGUCAUCAAAGCUAAAACCAAAUUUUCUAGAGUAAAACUUAACAUACAACAGUCCUUACUGACCUGAACCAGAUGCCUUUUCCACAUUCAAGACAAAUAAAGAGUCCUCUGAGUGGAAAGACUAUAAGUAUUGAAAAUAAAAAUUAUUUCAACAAUAUAUUCUGAAAAUCAAUGACCUUUCUAGCAGAUAUGGGAGCUGCUUUAUGUUGUCUGCCUGAGAGUUUCAUCUUGCUUUUCCUAUGGACUUUCCCAAAAAAUUACAUAAGAUUUCCUGACUAAAUAAGACACAUUCUUUAGUAGAGGGUUGGGGAAGGGUAAGAGGAAUGGAGAGAUAUAAAGAAAUACAAUGUGAUUUCUUUUGUCCAUUUGUCAAAUGCUUUCCUUAAGCUAUUAAAAAGGUCAAUUGACCUGCAUACCUGGGCUUUAUUUAACCUCAUUAUUUUAGCUGUGCAAAACAAAUGUGCAAAGAAAAACACCUCCUAUGUAUGUGUGCCUAUACAUAGACACAAAACCUGAGUCGCAAUAAAAGUUUUUAAUAUAAGAAAGCUUUUCUUAAUAUAGGAAAAUAACCUUUAAAGAGCCAAAAAUAUCUUUGUAUAAUAUAAGCAGCUAACUUUAAAACUUCCAUGUACUUAAGUAUCACAUAUUUUAUAAGAUCUAGCAAAAAAGGAUCACUUACAUUUGAUAAUUUUCUUAAGUAUAGCUGAGAUAACCACAUUUUUAUUUCUAACAUGUAUUUUCAUUCCCCUGAAUUCAUUGAUUUUUUUUUUUUUUAAAGCACAUUCAAAUAAGUCCUGUUUAAUUUCUGACAAACAGUUCCUGCUUGUUUCUAGAUAUUGAGGACAUAGGAAAUUUAGGAUUGCUAGGCCUAUAAUUUAGUGCCAAGUCGCAAUGGAAUUCCAAAGUUCAAAACAAAAUAUGUCAUUUUAUUAAGAGAAACAUUAUUUGCAAAAAUAUUUGUAGACAAGAGUUGGGCCAAAGUCUGCAUGAAGCUAUUCUUCUCUCAUUUGCAGGCUCCCUUUCUACUGACUGUUAACUCUUAAAAACCCUUUCUUUCUCCAUGCUCCAUUUCUUUAUUUUUCGGUAGGCUUCAUACCUUUUUCAUACUUGAACCCUGAAUGUUCCCAACUGAAUGAAGCUCCCUUGCUCAUAUGCAGCCACCAGUUACAAUGUCCUCUUUUCUUACCUACAUCUUUGUUAGCUCUUCCUCUUUAUGAGCUUAGAACUCUGGGAUGACUCCUUGGCCUCUCCUCUGCCACUUAACUACUCAUUAGGGGAAAAUCUGCUUGAAUGUUCCAUUGCCUUAUUAGACACUGAUUUAAGGCUCAAUUCAGGACAUACUUAUUCCCUGGGCUACACCUUAGAUGCUAACUGAGGAAAGUUUAUAGAAAAAUGACUGAAAAUUGCUUCUCGAUGCUACUCCCAGUGGUCCGUGUCAUUAAUUACGCAUUUAUGUCAGUUAAGUUGCUGAUACUUAGGGAGAAUGUAAAGCCGUCUGAACCAAAAUAUUCAGUCUUUGCAGCUGUGAUUGGACAGGAGGGCCUUUGAAUACUUGGAUCAGUAGUUAAAAAGAUACUGGGCAGGGCCCUUGAAUGCUUUUCUUCUCAAGCCUAGUUUGGGAAUAAGGUGGAAAAGGCAUGCGAGAGAGUAAAGGAUUAGAGGCAUUAGCCAAGGGAAUUGUAGUCAACUCCUGACUUUUUAUAUGAUACUUGCCUGAGGAUCACCAGAAGGAUUUUGUCCUGUGCAGAAGACUAAAAGCAGAGUCAUACUUUCUCUGCCAACAGACUUGUUGCCAUGGGAACCAGUGCAGAAAAGUGAAAAUAUGACAAGAAGCUCAGGAUUAAAUGUAGAAAAUUGAUAGGGAGUUGAUUUCUACAUGGCAAUUUAAGCAUUGAGGAUUUAAAGAAACAGGAUGUUCCUUAUGUGGCCAGAUCAAUGAAAAUGGACAAAAUGACUUGCCAGUAGCUGGCCCUAGGAGGCUGAGGUGUGAAAAAUGCAGGGAGAAAGUAGUAAGCAUACUGUGGUUUGGAUAAGGGGAACUUUGUAAAAUCUAACUCCACUCCUGAUGAGGUUAAGCUUCCAGUCCAAAUGUUAAAAUUAACCGUAGGAUCAAAUAUACCCUUUGGAAAGGCAUGCCCAUGCUUAGCUUGAUAAAAGCAGCCUGAUGUAACAAUUUUCUUUUCACCUUUCCAAAACCAGCACAUACUACUCGACAAGAUUAUUGCAUAUCUAGUUUAUUAUUGCUUGACGCAUCUUUUCAAAUACUUAAAAACAAACAAAAAAAACCCCCACCAUUUGCAAAUCUAUGCCUCCCUUCCCCCAAUAAGGCAGCUAUUGUAAGUAAUCUAGAAUUAAGUUUCUCAUUAAGGAAAUAAUUAUUUUACUUCACGUGAUACAAGUCCUCCUUGUGUACCUUUCUCUGUCAUUCAGUCAGUACUUAAUAAUAAACUGAUCAGUUUAUUACAGGAUUCCAGGAAAACCUUUAACAAGGAUUUGGAGUUUCAGCCUAAUCUAAGAAGGACUUACAUGUUGUAUUUUCAAAGGCUCUAGGAGAAUGUACCUGCUGUGUCCCCGAAGCUUUCCUGAAAACCUACAAUUAAUGUCUCAUUCCUGUGACUUCAGCUUUGGCCUAUUUUGAAAUGCAGUUGCUCUAAGGAGAUAUAGGAAGGUCACCCUGUAAAGGAUUUGAUUUAACCCUUCCUGCAGAGCUAGUUUUCAAAUAGUAAUGGCACGCUUCACCUGAUGUCCUCUUCUUCCCUCACCCACAAAGGAAAAACUAAAAACAUAACGUCCACCUAGGCAAUGGGUAGGGCUAGAGGCCAGGAAGUAGGAGACAAGCCAUUAUAGCAUAGUAGUCUUUGGGGUACAUCUGAAUGCAAAUGGUCUGAAUAAAAUAAUGCUUUGCGCAGUGUUAUGUACACUGGACAGAUUUCACUAGACAUGCUUGUUUCUUUCUCACUUAGGACUUUCUGAUCUAUUUGUCAAAGUUCCUUAUUGAAGCUUUUGACAAUCUCAAGGGGUUAUUGAAAUGUCAAAUACUCAUUAAUUUCCUUAAAUCCAAUAAACACCUGAAUUUUCUAUCACUUGCUGUUUGGAGGCCAAUUUGAUAAUACAUGCAGGACCCUAAACAGAGGUUUGAAUACUGUGAUAUUGCUGACAGAAUUCCUUAUAUCGAUAUUCUAGUGACUUUCAGGAUUGGAGACUUACGUGCUUGGUUUUUGCAGCAGGAAGCAUUAGAAUAACCUGAUGUAGGACUAAUUGAAGCUACAUAAAGCAUUGCUUUUUCCUAAAGACAGAUUGAUCCCUUUAGGUGGAACAGUAAGCCUUUGUUAUCAAGUCUUAAGAUGAAGUUCCUUCCUCCAGAAAGAAGGAGGUGCCCUUGAUUCCUGCAAGCCGCCUCUGACUUUGACCCAAAAAGGCCACUCCUCGGAAAGACAGAGUCAAGGAAAGUGGAAAGCUCGAGCUUAGCUAGUCUGUUACUAUCUCUCCAUGAUAUGAUUUAUUCAGGAUGAUAUUGCAGUUAUUUAUGUCCCCACUGUCACCUGAGCCUUGUCCUUUUUGACAAGAUAUAUAUAUAGAUACACACACACACACACACACACACACACACACACACACAAGGGACAAGAACUUUCCUUCCUGAGA